UGGGGAAUCUUGCACAAUGGGGGAAACCCUGAUGCAGCGACGCCGCGUGAGCGAUGAAGGUUUUCGAAUCGUAAAGCUCUGUCCUAUGGGAAGAUAAUGACGGUACCAUGGGAGGAAGCCCCGGCUAACUACGUGCCAGCAGCCGCGGUAAUACGUAGGGGGCGAGCGUUGUCCGGAAUUACUGGGCGUAAAGGGUUCGCAGGCGGCAUGGCAAGUCCGAUGUAAAAGGCGAAGGCUCAACCUUCGUAAGCAUCGGAAACUGUCAAGCUUGAGUGAAGGAGAGGCAAGUGGAAUUCCUAGUGUAGCGGUAGAAUGCGUAGAUAUUAGGAGGAAUACCGGUGGCGAAGGCGACUUGCUGGACUUCAACUGACGCUGAGGAACGAAAGCGUGGGUAGCAAACAGG
rnacentral:rRNA from 1 species